UCAUUCCAAAAAGAAACCCAAAGAACCCCAUCAGUUCAACUAACGUGACUCGACCCCUGCGCCUUCAUCUUCUUCUCCACUUGAACUACAGACCCAAAACCAGCAAAAUCGCGUCCAACUCCAAAUGAAAAUCAGAGCGUGAGUCUAGCAGCCUAGGGCGUCGUCCUCUCCCUCUCUCCUUAUCCGUUUGCACGGAAUCCAGGUGUCGAGAUAUCCCAUCGCCUUUGUCCUCUCAUUAGAAAUCGAACGACUGCGAUUAUUAGUCUGCUGAAGAGGUAUACAAUUUUUCGAGCUGGUAACCUUAUUCCUUAAAGAGAAUUCAAAUUUGAAAUUCAAAUUCAAUCGGUUUCCCCCUCUUUCUGCCCUAAAUCUCCCCUUAUAAAUAUCCGCUCAUUCUUCAUUGUUUAGUUGGAGAAAAAAGCCCCGAAAAUUUGGUAAAGGGUUGAGGAAAAAGGGUUGGAGAUAGUUACAGUGAGUUGGAGUGGGGGGGGGGGGGGGGGAAUGUGGAAGUUUAGAGUCAGGACUUCUUUUGAAAAGUCACAUUUAUAAUCAAGAACUUUUAUACGUUUUCUUUAAUCCUAAGUUGUGAGACAACCUUUGUGAGAGUCUGGUUUGCAUUUCGUGGUCAAUUGCUCGAGAUUCAAACUCGUGUGGUGGAAGAGCCCUUCCCUACUCGUUUGGUCUCAUUUUGUUGGCUCAAGAAAGGUAUUGGCGUUUCCUUUUGUAUUUUGUUUCAAUGUAGCAUAUUGCUCUGUUUUUGGUUUCAUUCUUCUAACUUAAGUUUGUUGCAUCUGUAAGAGUUGAUCACAUUUCUGGAUAUGACUUUAUUUUAUUUCUAAAAUAAGAAAAAGUUAUACAAAUCCCUCCUUCAUUUCGAUAUGUCUUAUUUGAAAGUAGUAGCUAUUAGCUAAGCUAUAGGAUUUUAUUUGAGUGAUUAGUAUUAAGUUCUAUGUAUUCAAGAUUGAUUUGAUAUUAUGGUUGUGACUAAGUGUUAUAUACAAGGAUAUGCUUAUGGUUUCUAGUAAUGUAUAUGUUACUACAGGGUUAUGCCGUCAGUUACUGCAAAUAGAAAACUUACUCAUGAUCAUUUAUUUAUACACUAUGCAUUUUGUUUUAUUUUUCGUUUUGAGCACCUAGAUAUCAAUUAUUUGUGUAAAAUAAUUCUUGUUCGCUCUAUUAAAUUUAACUCAAGUGAAAAGGUUCUUCGUUAAUUCUCUUCCUUCCAUUUUGCAUGUGAAACUCCAUCCGAGUCCCUUCGGACUCCCCGCUUAGCAUAUCAUCGAGUUGGAUUUCUUCGAGUUGGCUUCUUUGUUUUUCGAGUCAAGGGAACCGAUGAUCAGGGGUGAAACAUCGAUUCCAAGCCCCGAAAAGUUUGAAAACAUGCUACAUGUCUGCUAUAUACAGUGGUGUACAGGUCGCAGGAGUUGAAGAGCGUUGAAUACACUUGGUAUACAGUCCGAUGUACAUGAAAAUCGGUCAAAAUAUGAUCUAUAUACAACAAUAUACAUUUGUUGUAUACACAGGUGUUUGAGAGUGAAAAGGAGUCAAACUCAUUCAUUUGCAGGACAGGUUUUGGGACAAAAGCCCAUGAGAUUUAAAAUUGGUACAAAGGGCCCAAAUUCAAACUCUCCGUUAUUCUAUUUAUUUAUUUGUAAUUGUCUUUCUUAACAUUUUGGCUUAGCUUAUUUAAAUCCCCAAGAUAAUCAUUUCUCUUUUAUUUCUAAUAUAUAUAUAUUUAUUACUUAGCUUUA